GGGGGGGGGGGGGGGGGGGGGGGGGGGGGGGGGGGGGGGGGGGGGGGGCGUGGGGGGGGGGGGUGCGCGGGGGGCGGACGGGGGAGUAGGGCGUGGGUAACCUGCCGGGGACUUUGGGAGAACGUCAGGAGACUGGGGGGAGUACCGGGUAGGAGCUCCUGCUGCAUGGUGGGGGUUGGAAAGUUUCGGCGGUUGGGGAUGGACUCGCGGCUUAUCAGCUUGUUGGUGGGGUAGUGGCUUACCAAGGCUUUGACGGGUAGCCGGCCUGAGAGGGUGACCGGCCACAUUGGGACUGAGAUACGGCCCAGACUCCUACGGGAGGCAGCAGUGGGGAAUAUUGCACAAUGGGCGGAAGCCUGAUGCAGCAACGCCGCGUGCGGGAUGACGGCCUUCGGGUUGUAAACCGCUUUCGCCUGUGACGAAGCGUGAGUGACGGUAAUGGGUAAAGAAGCACCGGCUAACUACGUG
rnacentral:rRNA from 1 species